rnacentral:rRNA from 1 species
AAACGGCGGCUAAUACCCUGUAUGCCGAGAGGUGAAAUGAAUUUCGCCUGAGGAUUAGCUCGCGUCUGAUUAGCUAGUUGGUGUGGUAAAGGCUCUCCAAUGCUUCGAUCAGUAGCUGGUCUGAGAGGAUGAUCAGCCACACUGGGACUGAAACACGGCCUAGACUCCUACGGGAGGCAGCAGUGCGUAAUUUUCCGCAAUGGGCGCAAGCCUGACAGAACAACGCCGCGUGAGGUAUGAACGCCUCUGGGCUGUAAACCUCUUUUAUCAAUGAAGAAGAUCUGACGGUUCUUGAUGAAUCAGCCACGGCUAAUUCCGUGCCAGCAGCCGCGGUAAUACGGGAGUGGCAAGCGUUAUCCGGAAUUAUUGGGCGUAAAGCGUCCGCAGGCGGUUUUACAAGUCUGUCGUUAAAACGUGGAGCUCAACUCCAUUUCGGCGAUGGAAACUGUAAGACUAGAGUGUGGUAGGGGCAGAGGGAAUUCCCGGUGUAGCGGUGAAAUGCGUAGAUAUCGGGAAGAACACCAUUGGAGAAGGCGCUCUGCUGGGCCAUAAUUUCGCUC